AAUGAACGUUGGCGGCGUGGAUUAGGCAUGCAAGUCGAACGGGUUUGGCUUCGGCCAGACCAGUGGCGCAAGGGUGAGUAAGGCGACGGUAACCAACCCCAUGGUUGGGUAUAGCCGCGGGAAACUGCCGGUAAUCCCCAGCGACGUAAAUUUCCGGCAUCGGGAAUUUACCAAAGCUUUGGCGCCGUGGGACGGGCCAUCGUGGUAUUAGGUAGUUGGCGGGGUAACGGCCCACCAAGCCUUUGAUGCCUACCGGGCGUGCGAGCGUGGCCCGGCACACUGGGACUGAGACACUGCCCAGACUCCUACGGGAGGCUGCAGUCGAGAAUCUUCGGCAAUGGGCGCAAGCCUGACCGAGCGACGCCGCGUGGAGGAUGAAGGCCUUCGGGUUGUAAACUCCUGUCGAGGGGGAGGAAGGGGAAACCUUGACCUAUCCCUGGAGGAAGCACGGGCUAAGUUCGUGCCAGCAGCCGCGGUAAGACGAACCGUGCGAACGUUAUUCGGAAUCACUGGGCUUAAAGCGCGUGUAGGCGGAUGGGAACGUCGGUAACUGAAAGCCCCCGGCUCAACCGGGGAAGUGGUGCCGAAACGACCUGUCUGGAGGGACGUAGGGGGACCUGGAACUUCCGGUGGAGCGGUGAAAUGCGUUGAGAUCGGAAGGAACGCCCGUGGCGAAAGCGAGGUCCUGGACGUCUGCUGACGCUGAGACGCGAAAGCUAGGGGAGCAAACGGGAUUAGAUACCCCGGUAGUCCUAGCCGUAAACGAUGGGCACUGGGUAGGGGGCUCGCCGAUGGGCUCUCUGCCGUAGCGAAAGCGUGAAGUGCCCCGCCUGGGGAGUAUGGUCGCAAGGCUG
rnacentral:rRNA from 1 species